UACGUAGGGUGCAAGCGUUGUCCGGAAUUAUUGGGCGUAAAGCGCACGUAGUCGGCUUGCCAAGUCGGGUGUGAAAUCCCCGGGCUCAACCUGGGAACUGCAUCCGAAACUGGCUUGCUAGAGUAUGGGAGAGGGAGGCGGAAUUUCUGGUGUAGCAGUGAAAUGCGUAGAUAUCAGAAGGAACAUCAGUGGCGAAGGCGGCCUCCUGGACCAAUACUGACGAUCAGGUGCGAAAGCGUGGGGAGCAAACAGG
rnacentral:rRNA from 1 species